GCUAGCAGUGUAAACUCAAAUCA
rnacentral:miRNA from 1 species